GGGAGAGACUAAGGAGUUGUCCGUGAGAAGCUAGGGGUGCGGGAGCUCCGCGCUGCUGGGCACGGAGAAUCCUGGCGUUCCACGUCCACCCGGACCCGGCUUUGGGGUAAUUUCGAGCCCUCCACCCCCUGCAAGCCUUCUCGUGCUCCCACCCAGACCCAGAAAGCCAGCACAGCCCAUGUCAGAGCAAAGCAACGGGAUACGACAGAAUAACGGGGUGUGAAGCUCCCCCUGCUCGUGCUGGGGACCAGAAAAUGACAGAAGCAAAUGCUCGCCAUGCAGGUGGAACAAGGGAGGUGCACGGAGGUUGCCUGGAAGAGGUCAUACUUUAGCUAUUUUUCACCAUCGGCGAUCGAACAUUAACGUGCAAAGGCAACCACUGUGUUGUUUCUUAAAAAUGCAGAUUCCCUGUGCCUCAACUUCAGAGAGUUUCCUUUGCACAGCGUGCCGUCUGCAGACCAGACUCCACAGACUGCCCUG